rnacentral:tRNA from 1 species
AAGGAUUUAAGUUAAAAAAACUAGUAACCUUCAAAGUUAAAAAUAGAUUUAUUCUAAGCCUUA